GAUGAACGCUGGCGGCGUGCUUAACACAUGCAAGUCGAACGGGAAUUAUUUUAUUGAAACUUCGGUCGCUUUAAUUUAAUUCUAGUGGCGGACGGGUGAGUAACGCGUGGGUAACCUGCCUUAUACAGGGGGAUAACAGUCAGAAAUGGCUGCUAAUACCGCAUAAGCGCACAGAGCUGCAUGGCUCAGUGUGAAAAACUCCGGUGGUAUAAGAUGGACCCGCGUUGGAUUAGCUGUUGGGGGGGUAACGGCCCACCAAGGCGACGAUCCAUAGCCGGCCUGAGAGGGUGAACGGCCACAUUGGGACUGAGACACGGCCCAGACUCCUACGGGAGGCAGCAGUGGGGAAUAUUGCACAAUGGGGGAAACCAUGAUGCAGCGACGCCGCGUGAAGGAAGAAGUAUCUCGGUAUGUAAACUUCUAUAAGCAGGGAAGAUAGUGACGGUACCUGACUAAGAAGCCCCGGCUAACUACGUG
rnacentral:rRNA from 1 species